UACGUAGGGGGCAAGCGUUGUUCGGAAUUACUGGGCGUAAAGGGCGCGUAGGCGGCACAGCAAGUCGGGAGUGAAAGCCCGGGGCUCAACCCCGGAAUGGCUUUCGAAACUGCUGAGCUAGAGUACAGAAGGGGCAACCGGAAUUCCCAGUGUAGCGGUGAAAUGCGUAGAUAUUGGGAAGAACACCUGAGGCGAAGGCGGGUUGCUGGGCUGAUACUGACGCUGAUGCGCGAAAGCGUGGGGAGCAAACGGG
rnacentral:rRNA from 1 species